UAGGUUACUAGCAAUUGUAUUAGUUUACAAGAUAAAUAUAAAUUCACAAAUACACAAACAGAACAGCUAGUACAGACAAUGCAACAACAGCAGCAAUAGGCUUGGGAGAGUCAGUGUUCAAAAUGUAAAAUAACUGAAAGCAUGUAUCAACUGCUUGUAAAAUAUGGUCUUGCUUCUGUGCCAUUUCUCCCACAAUAAUGAAGACUUGAUUUUAUUCCAAAACUGCAGGACAAGAGGGAAUUGCCUUUGUUGCUCCUCCUCCUCCAAAUACAAAAUGACAUUUGUUCAACCCUUAAAUACAAAUUUAAAAUGGUAAAUAUGUACACAUCCAUCAGAUGAAAUAAUACCAAAAAAGAAGAAAAAAAGUGUCAUAAAUGAUGCACUUUCCCACUUUGAAUAGCAAUGAAGGAGGAUAUCUGGCCGGGUUUUAAUGCAACUUUGUUGCAAUCUCCAAGAUCAUCUUACAUAGAAAAAAACAGUGGAUUAAUCUCCAAACAAGAAUGGAAAAAAACUGCACUUUUUUAAGCCUUGGUAGCAGUCUUUCAUUUGACUUAUUACUUUUGUAAUUAUGGAUUAAUGUCUGUUAUAUAUCAAUUUGAUUAGCCAUAUUACAAGAGUGGUGUGUGUAUCAUUGUAUACAGGUGUGGGGAUUUUUUUAACUCAUUUUUAACUUACAUUGUUAUGCUAGUCAGUGGUAAUGUGAGUGUAUCAAUGUGUGAGUUAUGUAAAAGCUAUACACUUGUAAUUGUGCUGUUAGAAUCUGUAAAAGCAGGCUGUAGUUAUCUGUGGACUCAUCCCCUGAUCUAGACCAAUCUAGAGUCUAAUGCCAAAUUACAUUUCAAAGAUGGUACAGAAGCACUUCUGAAAGUAGCAUAUAUGUGUCUUUACAUACUGUUUAAUGCUGCUCAGAAGGACAUAAAUGCAUUUACAGAGCAAUUACAAGUGCAUACUCUGCAGAUUUUGAAAUGGGUCAGAGCUAGAAGUUAGUCUACCUUUUAUACUGCAUUGCGCAUAUACAGAGAAUUUUUAGACUUAACUUGGCUAUGUAAAGACACCUUCACAGUACUCUUAUUUGUGUAAUAUUGCUCGAAUGAUAGUUCACCCAAAUCAUUUGUCAUCAUUUACUCAUCCUCAGGGGUGAAUUAACCAUUUGUGUAGGUGUGCCUGUCAGUACAUAAUGUAAAAUAUUACAAUUUGGCAUGAAAAUACAGAGCAGGAUUUUCUCACCAGAGGAUAUAACCAGAAGAUCCAAGGCUCUCUUCUCGAUCUUGUAAUAUGUGAAUAUUUGUUGCCCCUGGUGGUGCAGAACAAGUACUGCUCACUGCAAAGCCAAAUGGCCUUCAGCUCCACCUCUGUGUGAACUAAUGGGUGAAGUUAGGGUUAGGAUAGGGUAAGAUGUAGGGUUAGGGUGUGGUUAGGUGUCUUUCUCCACCCAUUACCUCCAGCGAGGGGGAGCUAGAGCUCCAGCUCCUCCCAUCUCCCAGGGAAUAAAAACAAGAGCGAAAACUCCGCCUAGCUAACACUGAUACAGCGAGUGAACCGAUGAAACAGCCCGUACGUAGUGUGUGUUCUUGUGCCGUGUUGGUUGGUAAAAGAAGCAAGAACGGGUCUUUUUUAUUUCAACAUUCAAGCGCUGCGUGACGUAUUUUGAAGUUGAUCUGGGAGAUUUUCUAGAACCGUAUGAAAGAUGAAAUUCUCUUCGGCUGUCUUCGUCGUAUUAAUUUCAGUGUGUGUUGCUGAGUGGAAUUCGGUGGCAACUGAUGGAGAAAACGUUACCAUACCUUUGGGAAUGGCUGAACUGGACAGAGCCGAUCAAGUGACGAUAACUCAUACAAGAGAAAAUAAGAAAAUAAAGAUUGCACAGUAUUGUUGCUGUGCCCAACGUGGGGACUGUAAAGCCGUGAAAACACUGGGAGUCUUACUGAAAGUUAGAGAACGAAUAUUAAUUCUUCUAGAUGUCAGAUGUAAAGACUCCGGUCUCUAUGAAAUAAAAGUAAUCAGAAGAAAUAACACGUCUGAGAUACGAAAGGCUACACUUGUUGUCAACAAAUGUCUAUUUUCCUCAGAGCCACCACAAACCUCCAUUUCAAAACCUCCACAGUCAUCCAUCUCAGAACUAUCCAACCCAUCUGAACGCCGAAGGCUUUUUGUAGCAAUUUCUCCACUUCUGUUCAUCGUGGUGGUCCUUUAUGUGUUCUGUAAAUAUGUGAGGGCAAGUAUUACUUAAAUUUGUUCUUAUAUUCAUGGAAUUUAGUAGUCUAAUGUUCAGGGCUGUAUUCACUAAAAUGCUUAAGGCUAAAAUGUAAAAUUUAGGGGCAUUUCGCUCCUAAUCAUAGGACUCAAUUAUGAGUAAUUCAAGCAUUUAAACAUUAAAAGUAGCUCCUAAACACAGAACAGUUUACAAGUCUUCCUGAGGAUCCUGUAUCCCAAAUGACUGAUUCAAAAAUGAUCUGAGACAUGGCUGCUCUUGUCAAUCCAUGUCAAAUAUAUCAGAUCAUUACAAUGACAUACACACCUUAUAAGAUAUCACCUAAAUCUCUAAGGUGUUUUAACUUAGAGA